rnacentral:rRNA from 1 species
GCUCCAAUAGCGUAUAUUAAAGUUGUUGCAGUUAAAAAGCUCGUAGUCGGAUGUCGGGCUCGGGCAGGCUGUCGGCCUCUGGUCGGAUGGCAGGCUCGGGUCUCUUCCUGGGGGCACCGUCACACUUAACUGUGGGGCGGCUGGUCGCAGGCCGUUUACUUUGAAAAAAUUAGAGUGUUCAAAGCAGGCCACCGCUCUGA